rnacentral:lncRNA from 1 species
AUUAAUCACACUUCUUAAACACAUCUCUUGACCGGGGUGUUCUCACCAUGCCCUUUCUACAAACAAAAAGAAGGCAAUGUAUCGCAUCCUGUAUUACCUUCCCCUGACCUCAUAGCUUCCCAAAACAGGAACAAUCAUGGGCUUUGAAGUAAAGAAUGAAGAUGUGGAGACCUGGAGACAGGUGGCACCUCGUGCUUCCUCCGAAGGGAGAGCCCAUUUCCUAACAGCUGGAUCAAAGGCAUGAAAUGAACAUGGAGUCCCUGAAGAUGAAGAGAAGGCAUGGCUUCCAGGGAGAAAUUGUACAUUACAGGAAUGCAGAUGUGAUUCCUAUGGAUGAGGGUAACCUAGAGGCUAGAAGAACAAUAGGACAGAAGAAGCCUGGGUCCCUGAACAACCUUGUGGAGCAUAGACACCUACGUGGCCUGGACUGCCAGCUCACAAUGGGCCUCUCUGUGAGAGAAGGAAACUUCCCUCUUGUUUAAGCAACUGUGCUUUUGAGAAUCUCUUGGUC